UCUCCGUUGGUGAACCAGCGGAGGGAUCAUUACAGAGUUGCAAAACUCCCAAACCACUGCGAACGUUACCUAUCCCGUUGCUUCGGCGGGCGGCCCGGGCCCCGCGCCCGGCGCCCCCCGGCCCCCCGUGGGCGCCCGCCGGAGGUAAACCAAACCCUUGAAUUGCAUGGCCUCUCUGAGUCUUCUGUACUGAAUAAGUCAAAACUUUCAACAACGGAUCUCUUGGUUCUG
rnacentral:misc_RNA from 1 species